rnacentral:rRNA from 1 species
GACAGAGGGUGCGAACGUUGUUCGGAAUUACUGGGCGUAAAGCGCGUGCAGGCGGCUCGAUAAGUCGGAUGUGAAAGCCCUGGGCUCAACCUAGGAAGUGCAUUCGAAACUGCUGAGCUUGAGUUCUGGAGAGGAAGGCGGAAUUCUCGGUGUAGAGGUGAAAUUCGUAGAUAUCGAGAGGAACACCGGUGGCGAAGGCGGCCUUCUGGACAGCAACUGACGCUGAGACGCGAAAGCGUGGGGAGCAAACAGG